UGCCCAGCAACUCCUAUCCCUACCUCCUCGCGGUACUGGCCGGGGUACGAGUAACCUUGGGGAAGAUCGAGUAAGCAACCCCCGGUGGGAACUUUGGUCGUAUGCUGACAGGGAAGG
rfam:Aedes aegypti strain Liverpool supercont1.330 genomic scaffold, whole genome shotgun sequence.